UACAGAGGUCCCAAGCGUUGUUCGGAUUCAUUGGGCGUAAAGGGUGCGUAGGCGGCGCGGUAAGUCGGGUGUGAAAUCUCGGGGCUUAACUCCGAAACUGCAUUCGAUACUGCCGUGCUUGAGGACUGGAGAGGAGACUGGAAUUUACGGUGUAGCGGUGAAAUGCGUAGAUAUCGUAAGGAAGACCAGUGGCGAAGGCGGGUCCCUGGACAGUUCCUGACGCUGAGGCACGAAGGUCAGGGGAGCAAACGGG
rnacentral:rRNA from 1 species